rnacentral:rRNA from 1 species
GACGAACGCUGGCGGCGUGCUUAACACAUGCAAGUCGAACGAAGAGCGACGGAAGCUUGCUUCUAUCAAUCUUAGUGGCGAACGGGUGAGUAACGCGUAAUCAACCUGCCCUUCAGAGGGGGACAACAGUUGGAAACGACUGCUAAUACCGCAUACGAUCUAACCUCGGCAUCGAGGAUAGAUGAAAGGUGGCCUCUACAUGUAAGCUAUCACUGAAGGAGGGGAUUGCGUCUGAUUAGCUAGUUGGAGGGGUAACGGCCCACCAAGGCGAUGAUCAGUAGCCUGUCUGAGAGGAUGAACGGCCACAUUGGGACUGAGACACGGCCCAGACUCCUACGGGAGGCAGCAGUGGGGAAUCUUCCGCAAUGGACGAAAGUCUGACGGAGCAACGCCGCGUGAGUGAUGACGGCCUUCGGGUUGUAAAGCUCUGUUAAUCGGGACGAAAGGCCUUCUUGCGAAUAGUGAGAAGGAUUGACGGUACCGGAAUAGAAAGCCACGGCUAACUACGUG